rnacentral:rRNA from 1 species
CCUACGGGUGGCAGCAGUGAGGAAUAUUGGUCAAUGGACAAGAGUCUGAACCAGCCAAGUAGCGUGAAGGAUGACUGCCCUAUGGGUUGUAAACUUCUUUUAUAUGGGAAUAAAAUGUUCCACGUGUGGGAUUUUGUAUGUACCAUAUGAAUAAGGAUCGGCUAACUCCGAGCCAGCAGCCGCGGUAAUACGGAGGAUCCGAGCGUUAUCCGGAUUUAUUGGGUUUAAAGGGAGCGUAGGUGGAUUGUUAAGUCAGUUGUGAAAGUUUGCGGCUCAACCGUAAAAUUGCAGUUGAAACUGGCAGUCUUGAGUACAGUAGAGGUGGGCGGAAUUCGUGGUGUAGCGGUGAAAUGCUUAGAUAUCACGAAGAACUCCGAUUGCGAAGGCAGUUCACUGGACUGCAACUGACACUGAGGCUCGAAAGUGUGGGUAUCAAACAGGAUUAGAUACCCCAGUAGUC